UACGUAGGGUGCAAGCGUUAAUCGGAAUUACUGGGCGUAAAGCGUGCGCAGGCGGUUGUGCAAGACCGAUGUGAAAUCCCCGGGCUUAACCUGGGAAUGGCAUUGGUGACUGCACGGCUAGAGUGUGUCGAGAGGGGGGUAGAAUUCCACGUGUAGCAGUGAAAUGCGUAGAGAUGUGGAGGAAUACCGAUGGCGAAGGCCAGCCCCCUGGGAUAACACUGACGCUCAUGCACGAAAGCGUGGGGAGCAAACAGG
rnacentral:rRNA from 1 species